rnacentral:rRNA from 1 species
AUUGAACGCUGGCGGAAUGCUUUACACAUGCAAGUCGAACGGCAGCACGGGUGCUUGCACCUGGUGGCGAGUGGCGAACGGGUGAGUAAUACAUCGGAACGUACCCAGUUGUGGGGGAUAACUAACCGAAAGGUUAGCUAAUACCGCAUACGACCUGAGGGUGAAAGCGGGGGACCGUAAGGCCUCGCGCAAUUGGAGCGGCCGAUGUCUGAUUAGCUAGUUGGGAGGGUAAAGGCCUACAAAGGCGACGAUCAGUAGCUGGUCUGAGAGGAUGAUCAGCCACACUGGAACUGAGACACGGUCCAGACUCCUACGGGAGGCAGCAGUGGGGAAUUUUGGACAAUGGGCGAAAGCCUGAUCCAGCCAUUCCGCGUGAGUGAAGAAGGCCUUCGGGUUGUAAAGCUCUUUCGGCAGGGAAGAAACGGCCUAGGUUAAUACCUUGGGCUAAUGACGGUACCUGAAGAAGAAGCACCGGCUAACUACGUGCCAGCAGCCGCCGUAA